UACGGAGGGGGCUAGCGUUGUUCGGAAUCACUGGGCGUAAAGCGCGCGUAGGCGGACCAAUCAGUUGGGGGUGAAAGCCCGGAGCUCAACUCCGGAACUGCCUCCAAUACUGUUGGUCUUGAGGUCGAGAGAGGUAAGUGGAAUUCCUAGUGUAGAGGUGAAAUUCGUAGAUAUUAGGAAGAACACCAGUGGCGAAGGCGACUUACUGGCUCGAUUCUGACGCUGAGGUGCGAAAGCGUGGGGAGCAAACAGG
rnacentral:rRNA from 1 species